AACGAACGCUGGCGGCGUGGAUAAGACAUGCAAGUCGAGCGGGAACUUUCGCUGUAGCAAUACAGUGAAAGUUCUAGCGGCGAACGGGUGCGUAACACGUGGACAAUCUGCCUUAAAGUGGGGGAUAGCUCGGCGAAAGCCGAAUUAAUACCGCAUGUGAUGAGAGACGACAUCGUCUUGAAAUUAAAGCCGGGGCAACCUGGCGCUUUUUGAGGAGUCCGCGGCCAUCAGCUUGUUGGUGAGGUAACGGCUCACCAAGGCUAUGACGGGUAGCUGGUCUGAGAGGACGACCAGUCACACUGGAACUGAGACACGGUCCAGACACCUACGGGUGGCAGCAGUCGAG
rnacentral:rRNA from 1 species